CCCCCCCCCCCCCCCCCCCCCCCCCCCCCCCCCCCCCCCCCCCCCCCCCCCCCCCCCCCCCCCCGGGAGGCGGCGGGAGGGGCCGCGCUGCCGCUCGGCGCGGUGCCCGGGGCAGGGAGUUGAUGAUUAACCCGCGGGCCACCGAGUACCUGCCUAAAGUCGCGCCCAGGGUGGGGUUUAACCUUGUCCCGGGCUCGGUGCCUCCCGUGUGACCGUGGGGCGAGCAGUUCUGCAGCUGCCGCCGAAGCGCUGCGGGGAUGCGCAGCUCCCUGUUGAACAAUCUCUGCUCUAGGUCUCAGCCUAGAGCUCGUUUUUGGAGGCUCAGGAGGUCGAGGUGAUGUGGGGGUCUCGGCGAGCGGAUGUGCGCCACAGCCGCGGGCUGCAGUAGCUCGAGUGUUUGUGGCUGGCGCUUGAAUCCAGGCUGGCCUCUUUUCCUGGGGCUGAGCCGCAAGGAGCUCAGCAGCUGCGGCAUUUAGUUCAAUUACUUCAGAUGAUCUGUAAAUUUUCAAUAAUGGCAAUACAUUCAUUCUGCCAUUUGGAGGAGCCUGUGCCACAGAAUAAUGAUCUGAAGAAAGCUCACUUAUUUGCAAGGAAGAGUCUUCAUUUGGGAAGCAGCACUGAUGCAGCUCAAGGGUGCUUUUCCAAUUCCAGACUCUUUCAGCAGAACUGUUAUUUUCCUAACACAACCUCUGGUACAAGGAUAAAAUUGGAUAAAAUUGGAUAAAAGAACAGAGUCCUGUAUCUGAAGAGUAAGAAGGUAAGGUAUAUGAGAUUAUAUCACUUCAGCAAGAAGUUAACAGUAAUUUCAUUUACCUGUUACUUUGCAAAUAUACAAAAAUACUUGAUUAAUCAUGCAUCAAGAAGUCUUAAACAUUUUAUAUCAGUUCCUUUUUGCUGGAACUGGUUGAGCUUUUUUCCUCUUUUUAUCUCAUGGGUGGAAUUUCUGAAAGCAUUCAGCUCUGCUUUCUAAAUGUGUUUUCUGUGAAAUCAAUGAGCUGACCUGAGUGGGAAUGAAGGUUGGUUUAUCUUUGGUGAGACAGUUAAGUUGUCAAUAACUGUUGUGGAAAUAUCACCCUUCAAAUGCUGUGUCCUUGACAUUCAGUGGGAUGAGAAUCUCAGAACUGACUACUGGGACUCCCAAGCUACAGAUCAGGUAAAUAACUUCUUUGAAGAGGAAAUUAAAGGUGUCUUCUUUUUAAAAUUAUGAUAAUUAACUAGCAAAGUGUGCAACUUAAACUAUAAAU
rnacentral:lncRNA from 12 species